rnacentral:rRNA from 1 species
GUGGGGAAUAUUGGACAAUGGGCGCAAGCCUGAUCCAGCCAUGCCGCGUGAGUGAUGAAGGCCCUAGGGUUGUAAAGCUCUUUCACCGGUGAAGAUAAUGACGGUAACCGGAGAAGAAGCCCCGGCUAACUUCGUGCCAGCAGCCGCGGUAAUACGAAGGGGGCUAGCGUUGUUCGGAAUUACUGGGCGUAAAGCGCACGUAGGCGGACAUUUAAGUCAGGGGUGAAAUCACGGGGCUCAACCCCGGAACUGCCUUUGAUACUGGGUGUCUGGAGUAUGGAAGAGGUAAGUGGAAUUCCGAGUGUAGAGGUGAAAUUCGUAGAUAUUCGGAGGAACACCAGUGGCGAAGGCGGCUUACUGGUCCAUUACUGACGCUGAGGUGCGAAAGCGUGGGGAGCAAACAGGAUUAGAUACCCGGGUAGUCC